rnacentral:rRNA from 1 species
AUUAACGCUGGCGGCGUGCCUCAUACCUGCCAGUCGAGCGAACGGACGAGAAGCUUGCUUCUCUGAUGUUAGCGGCGGACGGGUGAGUAACACGUGGAUAACCUACCUAUAAGACUGGGAUAACUUCGGGAAACCGGAGCUAAUACCGGAUGAUAUUUUGAACCGCAUGGUUCAAAAGUGAAAGACGGUCUUGCUGUCACUUAUAGAUGGAUCCGCGCUGCAUUAGCUAGUUGGUAAGGUAACGGCUUACCAAGGCAACGAUGCAUAGCCGACCUGAGAGGGUGAUCGGCCACACUGGAACUGAGACACGGUCCAGACUACUACGGGAGGCAGCAGUAGGGAAUCUUCCGAAAUGGGCGCAAGCCUGACGGAGCAACGCCGCGUGAGUGAUGAAGGUCUUCGGAUCUUAAAACUCUGUUAUUAGGGAAGAACAUAUGUGUAAGUAACUGUGCACAUCUUGACGGUACCUAAUCAGAAAGCCACGGCUAACUACGUG